rnacentral:lncRNA from 1 species
UCAAAGUGAGCUUCCAACCCAGUUCAUAACCAUAAUUAAUCCAAAAUAAAACUUCAAUAUUCACAAGCUACUAGAUCUAAAUAGAGAAGCAAAAUAGUAGUAGAAAGCUAUGGAAUCUCUCUAGCUCUAUGAAACCCUAAAAAUGGAAAAUAAAACUGCUAAUAAUGAUAUCUCGUAACUAGCAAAUACACCCCUCUAUAGUAAUCUCGCUACAGCAGACUUAAAAUAAAAAGUCAAAUUUUAAAGCAGUCUUGAUUAGCGCGGCCGCGCGGCCCUGUAUAGCAAUUGGGGCGCGGGAGCGCCAUUUUGGAAUUCUAGAAUCAUCCUGGCUCGGGUGCACUGGAGUUACCCUUUUGGUUGGUGCGGCCGCGCGAAUGCUUUCUACUGCACUUUGUUGUUAUCAUGAUGCCGGUGUUCUGCUGCUACAAUGCUGUUGAUUCCUUCUUCUUUUGUCUUCACUUGCCUUCCUCAUCCUUCAUUUGCCUUCUUCAUUCUUCACAUGACCUCUCAUAUGCCCUUUCCUUAUACUCUUGCUCAGCUUCAAUUCUCAUUUUCAGCAUAGGCUCAUCAUGCUUUGCCACUUCCACGCAAUUGCCAUGUCUUUUCCAUGCCUUAGUAGUUUCCUCGAUGCAACCUACAAAAUAGGCAUAAAAAGAAAUCAAACAAUACUAAAAAAACUUAAGUUUAAGCAUAAUUCUAGCAAGUUGAUAGCCAAUAAGUAGGUAUAAAACCUACUUAUCACUUAUCCUAGCAAUACGCAGUCCAAGAACAUAUCAAGGACUAUUCAUACGCUUAAGGGUUCAAAACAUACCAUACGAUCAUGAGUCACAAACUUACCAUAAGUAUGAGUUUCCAGAACUCGUAACUUAUAUUAAUAUAUAUUCUCUAACUAUCCAUUAUACUCUUGAGAAAAGAAUCACCUCUUCUUCAUCGGUAUAUCGAUAGCGCGACACCAACAUUUCAACAAUUAUCAAUGUGGGAAACCAAGUAGUUGUUAAACCAAGCACAAAACCCUCGCCCAUACAAAGGUUUGCACAACUUAGUCACCACUUGAGUCCUCGAUUGAAAUCCCACAUAAAUUAUAACAUUCUCUUGCUCAAUACGAAUAUUCUUAACACGUAUCUUAUCAUAAACAACUCUUUUUGAGUUUCUCUUGUACUAUUUUAUAGUACCAUUUCAUGUAUAGCAUUAGUUAUAACUUUCCAAUCAUUUGAUUAAUCAGUUGUCCUUCCAAAUCAGAUCAUGGCGUGAUCUUAUCAUUCUAUGGCUAUCUUUGCCUUUUCUGGCAUUCGACAUCAAGCCUAAUGACUUAAUUAACAUCUUAAAAUAACAAUAUAUGUAUUAUUACUUUCUCGUGAUGAAUGCCUCAAUUCAUCUCUUAAAAUUCUGUCAGAGUUUAACUCCUUACUAUCUUCACUAAUUCCUCUAAGGUUAUAUCCUAAGGUACUUUUAACCCUAGAGCUAUAACCUAUUGCUACAGCCCCAAAAUUCCAGUUCUAUCUUUAGCUGCAAUGAUAUUAGAAUUUACAAGAAUGAGCAUUAAGUUGCUCAGUAAGUAUAAUCAAUUGAAUAAACAACAAAGUUAUGAACAACGCAUCAUUACUUGAAAACUUCAAUAACCAAAUAAGAGUUAUGAAGCAGCUUGAAUAAAUAGGAAUUAAAUCAUACUUUCUAUCUUAUAACACCUUUCUUACCCUUCUAAGAGAACACUCUUCAAAUUCUUCAAUAAGAAGUUCAUCAUCAUAUACUUAAUCACAAUCACCUAAAAUCAUAUGUCUUCUUAUACUUAUAAAGAAUAACUUUUCCUAAAUACUACUCUAGGACUUAACUUAGCCUAGACAUUUAUAUAUAUAUGAAAAGAAUCACAUUUCCAAUAUAUAUAUAUAUAUACAAAACAGUACAUCACAGGUGUUCAACAGUUAUCAAUGUAGUCAAAAGUCCCUUACCCAUACAAAGCAGUUGAUCGACUUAAGCUACAUGUCAAAGGUUAAAGAGCAUGUGACUGCACUUGCGACUUUAACUUAGUUAACCAUGUAACUUAAACUAGUCAAAUUAUAUCAACUUUCUUAUUCAUGCCAUUCGCUAUUAUGCGAAACUUAUCGUCUUUAACAGUUCCCUUUCUUAGAACUCUCUUUAAAUAAGUGCACAUAGUGUUUCAAUAUGAUCGUGUGUAUAACCAUCAAUAACAUGACAUCCGUGCACCGGGUGCAAGUCAACAUCUUUUGCCCUAGUUAUUUAAUUUGGCACUAGUAAUUUAUAUCCCUUACUAGAAUUAACAUCUAUAAUUUCUUUACUCGGAUUUAUAUUCUAUCCAAAAUAAUGCUACAAUUGAGUUAUGCUGAAACAAAUAGCUAAUAACUCCCUUUUUACAAAGCAUACAACGAAUUUCAUAUAACAAAUGAAAUUCCAACAUUUAAAUACACGUUUUGCACAGAAAAUAAUUUGUGCAAGAAUCAUACCAUACUUGCAUAACAUAUAUGCAUAACAUAUAAGCCAUACAUCAUACGGAAAUUUACGCAAACAUAAACAUUUACACAUGUUAAUAAUCUUGCUCAAUAAAAUCUGAGAAAACUUAAAAAACUUGCCUCAAGCAUCUGUUAGCCUUUACCGCUUACUUUACUCGUCCAUCACAUAUCCUACACAUAUAAGUGUACAUAAACAUAGCAAUUAGCUAUGCAACAACAUACCGCUUAGUUUACUUUUAAUUCUUUACUUUAAAUAUUUUAUUAAUCCCGUCCCAUAGGAGUUAAACACCUUCUUAACCUUGGCCACCUUUUCCUUAAUGGUUUAACAUUCCCACAUCAUUCGUCCAUCCUUACUUAUCAAAUGUCAAGGCGAUAUGCCAAACAUUAGCCCAAACCACUCUUUAGGAUUUAUAACGUUUUUAACCUGCUUCAAACUUGAGUUUCAACGCAUAGAACUAAGUUUUAUAGUCAUUAUAGACAAUUUAUAAAGGUAUCUUAAACAUCCGAAGUCCAAGCAAAAAGUCAAAAUUUCACAAGUGGACAGGGGCUCAGCGCUGCGGCGCUGGCUUUAAGCAUUGCGGCUAUGUUCAUCAUGUUCAUCAAGCGCGGUGGUGCUGUCUUGAAACACUGCGGCUUUGUUCCAAAAAUAUACAUAACGAUGCGGGGCCAAUAGACAGCGCUUUGGCGCCAUAGCGCUAGCCUUAAAUCUGGCAAUUUUUAAGUUUUUCGUUCUAAGACGCCUAUUUUCGAAUAGUGUAACUUUUCGGUCCGUGAUUGGAAUGAACCCGUUUCAGGGACUAUUUCUUCCUUGUCAUGAACUCUCCAAAUCUCCCUUAACAGAAUAAUUUUUCCAGUUUUCGUACUUAUCAAAAAAUUGACUCAAAAGUCCCCCGAGACUACGUUUCUCACCUUUUAACAUGCUUUACAAAAACUUUCACCACGACUUUAAUUUAACUCAUUUUUAGUUCGUUCCAAUUAGAAUUUUUCCAUAACUUCUUUAUCUACAAAUCCUUCUUUUUGGAUCUUUCAAAUUAAUCCAUCAAUCAUGUUUUCACUAGUUCGAUUUACGUCUUCUACAUAAUUUUUCAUUCUUUAUGCUUUGGCUUAGAUUUAAUUCUUUGUUUCCAUUCUUCAUGCAUAUAACCAAGUGAUAAAACAUUUAAAACACCUUAUUUCUCCGGAUCUAUCAUGAUCUACUAUAACCCAACAAUAAAUCAAACUCUUAGAAAUUAAAAAGAUGAAAAGUUUUGAGUUUAUCUUUUGAUUCGUGCUUCUUCUUGGUUUUUCUUUGCCUUGAUCUUGACUUGAUCUUGCUAUGCAUGAUCUUCUUCUUCUUCCCUCUUUAUCCGACCAUCUCUCUUCCUCUCUUAUUUUUCUCUCUUUUCUCUCUUGUUCUUCCUCUCUCUCUAUUUCUCUCUCUUCACUUAGC